CAUCCCUAUGUUUAUAACAGCACUAUUGACAAUGGCCAAAGUGCGGAAAGAGCCCAGAUGUCCAUCGAUGGAUGAAUGGAUAAAG